GACGAACGCUGGCGGCGUGCCUAAUACAUGCAAGUCGAACGCAGUGGGGACGGGUGAGUAACACGUGGGUAACCUCCCAUCAGAGGGGAUAACACUUGGAAACAGGUGCUAAACCGAUACUGAUGGAUGGACCCGCGGUGCAUUCGCUAGUGGGUGAGGUAACGGCUCACCAAGGCCACGAUGAAUCGCCGACCUGAGAGGGUGAUAGUACACACUGGUACUGAGACACGGCACAGAAUCCGACGGUAGGCAGCAGUAGGGAAUCUUCGGCAAUUGACGAAAGUCUGACCGAGCUACGCCGCGGGAGUGAAGAAGGUUUUCGGAUCGUAAAACUCUGUUGUUAGAGAAGCGGGAUCUAACCAGAAAGCCACGGCUAACUACGUGCCAGCAGCCGCGGUAAUUC
rnacentral:rRNA from 1 species